CGGGGAGUAGCUCAGCUUGGAAUAGCACCAGCCUUGGGUGCUGGGGGCCGCAGGUUCGAAUCCUGUCUCCCCGA
rnacentral:tRNA from 1 species